AGGAUGAACGCUGGCGGCGUGCUUAAUACAUGCAAGUCGAACGGUACUCGUAAGAGUAUAGUGGCAAACGGGUGAGUAACGCGUUGGUGACCUGCCUCAAAGAGAGGGAUAACAGAUCGAAAAGAUCUGCUAAUACCGCAUGUGUUCACGGGAGUUAGAGAGCCGUGAAGAAAGCCGAAAGGCACUUUGAGAGGGACCUGCGUCCCAUCAGCUAGUUGGUGAGGUAAUGGCCCACCAAGGCGAUGAC
rnacentral:rRNA from 1 species